CCGUGGAGGAUGCUGGUGCUGCUUCUGCUCCUGGGGCCCGGCUCCAUGCUGGGUGCCCUUGUCUCUCAACACCCGAGCUGGGCCAUCUGCAAGAAUGGGACCUCAGUGGAGAUCAAGUGCCACGUCACGGGCAUCCAGGCAACAACGAUGCUCUGGUAUCUCCAGCUUCCAGAGCAGGGCUUCACCCUGAUCGCAACUUCUGUCCAGGGCUCCGGCGUCACCCACGAGCAAGGCUUCACUGGGGCCAAGUUCCCCAUCAGCCACCCAGACUUCACGUUUUCAAAUCUGACGGUGACCAACGCACAGGCUCAGGACAGCAGCCUCUACUUCUGUGGUGCCAGUGACACAGUGCCAGGCAGAGAUCAGGGACCUGAGCAAGAACCUCUGCCUGGACGCCCCCUUCUGUUCCCCAGGGGUCCGUGGGCCCUGUGGGAGGGGUGUGCAGGGUAGGAAACCACAGCUCCUUGAACUGAGACACCUGUGAGUGUGUGUGUGUGUGUGUGUGUAGAGAGAGAUUGAGAGUGUGUGUGUGCGUAUGUGUAGAUAGGGAAUGUGUAUGUUCGUAUGUAUAUAUAGAGUGUCUGAGUGUGAAGUGUGGGGGCACCUUGUGUGAAACCCAGAAAAUGGGCAUGGCGCUGGCUCUAUAAGUGACCACUGACAUGGAGACAUCCCUGGACUGAAAAUUAUAAAACCUGGAUGGUUGUCCUGACUCUGCCACAUGUUAAUCAUGGAAAACAUGAUUGGAAAAAUUCACUAUAGGUAGAAAAAAAAAUGUAAUAAUAAAAUUCCUGAGAUUUUUGUGGUAAACGUGGACUUCAGCUUUCCUGGACUAUUCAACACCAUCUUCUCACCAUGUUGGGCCCUCGAGAUAAAGAGGGAUAAGUCAGCCAAACAAGAGCUUCACU